rnacentral:rRNA from 1 species
ACGAAGGGGGCUAGCGUUGCUCGGAAUGACUGGGCGUAAAGGGCGCGUAGGCGGCGCGGUAAGCGUGCGGUGAAAGCCCGGGGCUCAACCCCGGGUCGGCCGUGCGGACUGCCGGGCUGGAGCACUGUAGAGGCAGGUGGAAUUCCGGGUGUAGCGGUGGAAUGCGUAGAGAUCCGGAAGAACACCGGUGGCGAAGGCGGCCUGCUGGGCAGUGGCUGACGCUGAGGCGCGACAGCGUGGGGAGCAAACAGGA